rnacentral:rRNA from 1 species
CCUACGGGUGGCAGCAGUGGGGAAUAUUGGACAAUGGGGGGAACCCUGAUCCAGCCAUGCCGCGUGUGUGAAGAAGGCCCUCGGGUUGUAAAGCACUUUCAGUGAGGAAGAACGCCUGGUGGUUAAUACCCAUCAGGAAAGACAUCACUCACAGAAGAAGCACCGGCUAACUCCGUGCCAGCAGCCGCGGUAAUACGGAGGGUGCGAGCGUUAAUCGGAAUUACUGGGCGUAAAGCGCGCGUAGGUGGCUUGAUAAGCCGGUUGUGAAAGCCCCGGGCUCAACCUGGGAACGGCAUCCGGAACUGUCAAGCUAGAGUGCAGGAGAGGAAGGUAGAAUUCCCGGUGUAGCGGUGAAAUGCGUAGAGAUCGGGAGGAAUACCAGUGGCGAAGGCGGCCUUCUGGACUGACACUGACACUGAGGUGCGAAAGCGUGGUAGCAAACAGGAUUAGAUAUCCGAGUAGUC